AUGAUUGCGAAUCGCUGCCUUUGGUGCUGGCUCUUGCAAGUGCACAUUGGUGGCUUUCAUCCAAUACCCUUGUGAACCAUUGGCCUCUUGCUCGCUUCGGCUGGCAGAGGAUUUUUUACACCUACACUGUAGCAAAGUCUUAUGGAAUGCGCGCCGCGUUUAACGCAAUGCAAUA
rnacentral:misc_RNA from 1 species